CCGUGUCUUAACGAUCAGUCCACUGAGGGACGUGAAAGCAUGCAAAGUAUUGCUAUAGGUAGAGUUUUUGUUCGUGUUUUCUCUCAGACAGGGAUUGGAAUGGAGCGAGAAGUAGAAUGUAAAGAGGGGAAACUCGAAAUAAAAGAGGAUGCAACAUAAGAGAACCACCAUGUAAGGAAGGAAUAAGAAGAAUAUUUCAGAUUGUAGCGAUAUUUCUUUUCAGGGAUUGGAAUGGAGCGAGAAGUAGAAUGUAAUGAGGGGAAACUCGAAAUAAAAGAGGAUGCAACAUAAGAGAACCACCAUGUAAGGAAGGAAUAAGAAGAAUAUUUCAGAUUGAAGCGAUAUUUCUUUUCAGGGAUUGGAAUGGAGCGAGAAGUAGAAUGUAAUGAGGGGAAACUCGAAAAAAAGAGGAUGCAACAUAAGAGAACCACCUAGUAAGGAAGGAAUAAGAAUAUUUCAGAUUGCAGCGAUAUUUCUUUUUAGGUAAUCGAAAAUUUAU